ACCGUUGGAAGAAGAAGAUCUGGUCUCGUAUAUUCUUGCGGGACUAGGCUUCGAUUACAACCCAAUUAUUUCAUCUGUUGCUGCACGGGUGGAACCGAUCUCUGUCGGAGAACUGCACUCGCAGUUGACA
rnacentral:snoRNA from 1 species